AAGUGUCAGGAAAAUGAAACAAGUUAAUCCUUGAGUGGUGACUGGUAAGCAGUAAGCUCUUGAUAAAUGUUAGUCUUUAUUGUUAUGAUUCUCCUUAUUUAUUAUUAUUAUUAUUAUUAUAUCCCACGGUUGAGGCAAGAAAUAAAAUUGAGGGGAAGAGAUUCUCUUAUGGAAUCUUUAUUUUAUUUUGACAUCAGCUCAGGAUCCAUCUACAGCCUUCUUUUGGGAUUUGGGAGUUCAGGAUUUUUUUUUUUUUUCAAAAGGCUCAAUCUGGUUCAAGUCUCAACAACUGUAUGUUUAGCGCGCGCGCGCGCGUGUGUGUGUGUGUGUGUGUGUGUGUCUUUAUUUUCCAUUUACUUCGAAAUUGAUAGAUUUCCAAUUUAGAGCAAGGGGGGAUCAGGAGGGAGAAGGAAAAUGGAGCUGCCCAUCAAAAUUAGCAGGGAAGUGGGUAAAGGUCAUUUGAUCACAGCUUGGCUGCGCUCUGAAUUAACCUGCAUAACAGAGACUUGUUGAGUUUGCAGCUCUUUCAGGUGCAUAUUAACACCAGGAGGAAGGCAAGGAGACACCCUGAGAGAAGGUCAAUUUGUGGCUGCUCAAAUCAGCAGGGCUCCUGGAGAAACUUGGCUGGAGAAGUCAGCUCCGGGACCUCAGGGUGGGGAGCAAGUGAGGAAAGUCCAGUCUAUGGAGGAGGGGAGGCCCGGGUGCUUCUUGGGGGCAGCUUCUGCAGUCUGGCUAACCUGUGAGAACCCUGAAAGUGCAGCUGGGAGGGACUUCCUGCAGAGCUGGAGCUACAACAGAAACAGAAUGAAAGAGAGCAAGGUGCUGCGCUCGUCUGUGGGAAGUGUUAAGAAUAACAAGAUGGGGAGACAAGUCUUUGCCCCCAGGGAGCUUGCAGUGUGGUCGGACUGAAAUAAAGGUGACAAUGGCGGAAAGGACUCAAGUACCAUGGUUGUUGGUUGCAUGCUACUCUCCACGUGGGUCCCCCACUCAGCAUCCUUGGUUUCCAAAUCCCAGAGGGAUUCUUGGGGCAGCCUUAAUGGACUGAGAAAAUGGCUGAUCAUCUUCAGUGGACAGAAGUCUUCUAUCUGCUAUCUGGAGUACUCCUUGAACAAAGACAAUAAGGAAAGCGAAUUAAUAGUCCAAAGGCUCUCUUCUCUUGUCCACCACCAUGUGAGAUGUGCCUUUCACCUUCCACCCAGGCUGGAGUACAGGAGUGCGACCAUGAUUGUGAAGCCUCCCCAGAAACGUGAUUCCGAUGCUCACUGGGGAAUUUUAGAGCUAAGAAGAGGUGACUAAGCCCUGACGUAGAUGACAAGAGGAAGGCAUACAGAGCUGGUUCUUCAGAGAAGAAAUGGCUGAUUAUGGUGAUGAUGGUGAGUGAAACUUGUUCCUCUGCCAUGCAUGUUUGGGAAUGGGAAGGGGACAAAAAGGGCAGUGCUCAACAGCUAAGGGAGCAAGGGCUGCCCAGAGGGGUGAGGGUGGUCACCUACCAGGAGCUAGCUGAAUGUGGCAGAGAUGCCCCAUGGUAAAGGGACAGUCACUCCAGCCAGCCAGCCAGCCCCUGAUCUGCAGUUGGUUUUUGGCUGUGAUAUAGGCAUUGCUUAUUCAGAUGCCCUACCUCGGAGUGAGUGAAGUCCAGACGUGUUAUAUUUAUCUCCUUAUACACUCAUGAACCACCAUAUAUCUACUUAAAAAUUCUUUUAUCAGCAUUUAGUAAUCUGCAAUUGUAUCUUCAGGGCCUGUUUCCUCUGACAGGUGGGGACAUCCUUGAGGGUCCAGUCUGUCUCCCCCUGUAGUCUCUGCCUCACACAGAUUCCAGAAAGCAGUAGGUACUUGAUAGAUAUUUGUAGAUAGUGUGGUGGGAGAAACAUUCAAUCAGACCGUUGGGAGUCAGUUUCUUGCCUGAUUCUGUCCUUAGCACUCUGUGGGAUCAUGAGCAAAUGGCCUCUGUCUGUGCCUUGUGUCUCUCCAGUGAAAAUAAACAAAACUAAAUCUAAUCUGCA
rnacentral:lncRNA from 13 species